rnacentral:rRNA from 1 species
CCUCCCGCGGUCUCCCGCGUUGUUCGGCCUCCCUUGGCGUCCCGCGUGCGUCGGCUGUUUCGUCGGUCGUGUGUGAAAGGCGCGGGCUCAACCCGCGGACGGCACAUGAUACUGCGAGACUAGAGUAAUGGAGGGGGAACCGGAAUUCUCGGUGUAGCAGUGAAAUGCGUAGAUAUCGAGAGGAACACUCGUGGCGAAGGCGGGUUCCUGGACAUUAACUGACGCUGAGGCACGAAGGCCAGGGGAGCGAAAGGG